rnacentral:rRNA from 1 species
GACGAACGCUGGCGGCGUGCUUAACACAUGCAAGUCGAACGCUGAAGCUCAGCUUUUGUUGGGUGGAUGAGUGGCGAACGGGUGAGUAACACGUGAGUAACCUGCCCCCUUCUUUGGGAUAACGCCCGGAAACGGGUGCUAAUACUGGAUAUUCACUGGUCUUCGCAUGGGGGUUGGUGGAAAGGGUUUUUCUGGUGGGGGAUGGGCUCGCGGCCUAUCAGCUUGUUGGUGGGGUGAUGGCCUACCAAGGCUUUGACGGGUAGCCGGCCUGAGAGGGUGACCGGUCACAUUGGGACUGAGAUACGGCCUAGACUCCUACGGGAGGCAGCAGUGGGGAAUAUUGCACAAUGGGCGCAAGCCUGAUGCAGCGACGCCGCGUGAGGGAUGGAGGCCUUCGGGUUGUGAACCUCUUUCGCUCAUGGUCAAGCCGCAACAAUGGUUGUGGUGAGGGUAGUGGGUAAAGAAGCGCCGGCUAACUACGUG